GACGAACGCUGGCGGCGUGCUUAACACAUGCAAGUCGAACGGAAAGGCCCUGCUUUUGUGGGGUGCUCGAGUGGCGAACGGGUGAGUAACACGUGAGUAACCUGCCCUUGACUUUGGGAUAACUUCAGGAAACUGGGGCUAAUACCGGAUAGGAGCUCCUGCUGCAUGGUGGGGGUUGGAAAGUUUCGGCGGUUGGGGAUGGACUCGCGGCUUAUCAGCUUGUUGGUGGGGUAGUGGCUUACCAAGGCUUUGACGGGUAGCCGGCCUGAGAGGGUGACCGGCCACAUUGGGACUGAGAUACGGCCCAGACUCCUACGGGAGGCAGCAGUGGGGAAUAUUGCACAAUGGGCGGAAGCCUGAUGCAGCAACGCCGCGUGCGGGAUGACGGCCUUCGGGUGGGAAACCGAUUUCGCCUGUGACGAAGCGUGAGUGACGGGAAUGGGGAAAGAAGCACCGGCUAACUACGU
rnacentral:rRNA from 1 species